CCUGGCUGUGCCAUGGACUCCAGACUCCUCUGCUGGGUGGUGCUUUGUGUCCUGGGAGCAGGCCCAGUAGAGGCUGGAGUCACCCAAACGCCAAGACACCUGAUCAAAACAAGAGGACAGGGAGUGACACUGCGAUGUUCUCCUGUCUCUGGGCACCUCAGUGUGUUCUGGUACCAACAGGCCCCGGGUCAGGGUCCCCAGUUCCUCUUCCAACAUUACAGCGAGGAACAGAGAGCAAAAGGAAACUUCCCUGACAGAUUCUCAGCUCACCAGUUCCCUGACUAUCGCUCUGAGCUGAACGUGAGCUCCCUGGAGCUGGGGGACUCGGCUCUGUAUCUCUGUGCCAGCAGCUUGGCACAGCCCUGCAGAGUCACCAAUGUCCUGUGCACAAACUUCCCGCCCCAAUGUGGAACAACCUCAGACCUGACAUGUGUGUGA